rnacentral:rRNA from 1 species
CAAUAGCGUAUAUUUAAGUUGUUGCAGUUAAAAAGCUCGUAGUUGGAUUUCGGGUAGGAUUUGCCGGUCCGUCUUUGAGAUGUGUACUGGUAAGUCCUAUCUUCUUGUCGGGGACCAGCUCCUGGGCUUCACUGUCCGGGACUGGGAGCCGACGAAGUUACUUUGUGUAAAUUAGAGUGUUCAAAGCAAGCCUACGCUCUGAAUAUAUUAGCAUGGAAUAACACGAUAGGACUCUGGCUUAUCUUGUUGGUCUGUGAGACCAGAGUAAUGAUUAAGAGGGACAGUCGGGGACAUUCGUAUUUCAUUGUCAGAGGUGAAAUUCUUGGAUUUAUGAAAGACGAACUUCUGCGAAAGCAUUUGUCAAGGAUGUUUUCAUUAA